UACAGAGGGGGCGAGCGUUAUUCGGAAUUAUUGGGCGUAAAGGGCGCGUAGGCGGCCAAGCAAGUCUUGGGUGAAAUCCCUCGGCUCAACCGAGGAACUGCCUCGGAUACUGCUUGGCUUGAGGCCGGGAGAGGGUGGUGGAAUUCCCAGUGUAGCGGUGAAAUGCGUAGAUAUUGGGAGGAACACCAGUGGCGAAGGCGGCCACCUGGACCGGUCCUGACGCUGAGGCGCGAAAGCGUGGGGAGCAAACAGG
rnacentral:rRNA from 1 species